AUGAAGCUUGCUGGUGCUGUGGUGAUCCUCAGGCUGCCCUACUCCUCCUGACUUCAGGGGGAGAUUGUGGCAUUUGUCCAGCUAUAAAAGAGGAUGUUCAUCUAUUUUUAAAUGGAACUUCAGAAGAGUAUGUUGAGUACGUGAAACAAUACAAAGAUGACCCUGUAAUACUGGAAAAUAGUGAAAAAAUCAAGCAAUGUGUUGGUAGCACCUUGACAAAGGAAGACAAGAUACAUGCAACUACUUUCAUAAAAAAAUAGAAGCCAGCCAGUUAUGUUGA
rnacentral:lncRNA from 1 species